rnacentral:rRNA from 1 species
CCUACGGGUGGCAGCAGUCGAGAAUUUUUCUCAAUGGGGGCAACCCUGAAGGAGCGACGCCGCGUGGAGGAUGAAGGCUUUCGGGUUGUAAACUCCUGUCAUUUGAGAACUAGUAUCAGAAGAGGAAGGGACGGCUAACUCUGUGCCAGCAGCCGCGGUAAUACAGAGGUCCCAAGCGUUGUUCGGAUUCAUUGGGCGUAAAGGGUGCGUAGGUGGCGCCGUAAGUGGGGUGUGAAAUUUCGGAGCUUAACUCCGAAACUGCAUUCCAUACUGCGGUGCUUGAGGACUGGAGAGGAGACUGGAAUUUACGGUGUAGCAGUGAAAUGCGUAGAGAUCGUAAGGAAGACCAGUGGCGAAGGCGGGUCUCUGGACAGUCCUGACACUGAGGCACGAAGGCCAGGGGAGCAAACGGGAUUAGAUACCCUUGUAGUC